rnacentral:rRNA from 1 species
GAUGAACGCUGGCGGCGUGCUUUAACACAUGCAAGUCGAACGAAGCACCUUGGACAGAUUCUUCGGAUGAAGUCUUUGGCGACUGAGUGGCGGACGGGUGAGUAACGCGUGGGUAACCUGCCUCAUACAGGGGAUAACAGUUAGAAAUGGCUGCUAAUACCGCAUAAGCGCACGGUACUGCAUGGUACAGUGUGAAAACUCCGGUGGUAUGAGAUGGACCCGCGUUGGAUUAGCUAGUUGGCAGGUGACGGCCUACAAGGCGACGAUCCAUAGCCGGCCUGAGAGGGUGACGGCACAUUGGGACUGAGACACGGCCCAGACUCCUACGGGAGCAGCAGUGGGAAUAUUGCACAAUGGGGAAACCCUGAUGCAGCGACGCCGCGUGAAGCGAAGAAGUAUUUCGGUAUGUAAAGCUCU